CUUUGCAUCAAAUAUAAUGCAUAAAAUUAGAAAAUGAUUUUAUACAAUCACUUAUGAUGCAUAUACUAAAAAGAAUGAAAUUAUUGUGAUUUUGAACGUUCUGUUCAAGUCCUUCGUUUUUUUAUCUUAUUAUAGUCAACUGAUUGAUUAUGUGUGAAGUAUUUUGUUUUUAUAUUUAUACGUCACAUGUAUCAAAAUCAUUUAGUGUUAAAUUAAGAUAACAUAU